rnacentral:rRNA from 1 species
AUUGAACGCUGGCGGCAUGAUUUACACAUGCAAGUCGGACGGUAACAGGCCGCAAGGUGCUGACGAGUGGCGAACGGGUGAGUAAUGCAUCGGAACGUGCCCAGUCGUGGGGGAUAACUACUCGAAAGAGUAGCUAAUACCGCAUACGAUCUAUGGAUGAAAGCGGGGGACCGUAAGGCCUCGCGCGAUUGGAGCGGCCGAUGUCAGAUUAGGUAGUUGGUGGGGUAAAGGCUCACCAAGCCAACGAUCUGUAGCUGGUCUGAGAGGACGACCAGCCACACUGGGACUGAGACACGGCCCAGACUCCUACGGGAGGCAGCAGUGGGGAAUUUUGGACAAUGGGCGCAAGCCUGAUCCAGCAAUGCCGCGUGCAGGAAGAAGGCCUUCGGGUUGUAAACUGCUUUUGUACGGAACGAAACGGCUCUGGUUAAUACCCGGGGCUAAUGACGGUACCGUAAGAAUAAGCACCGGCUAACUACGUG